UACAGAGGUCCCAAGCGUUGUUCGGAUUCAUUGGGCGUAAAGGGUGCGUAGGUGGCGCGCUAAGUCAGGUGUGAAAUUUCGGAGCUUAACUCCGAAACUGCAUUUGAUACUGCCUUGCUUGAGGACUGGAGAGGAGACUGGAAUUCACGGUGUAGCAGUGAAAUGCGUAGAUAUCGUGAGGAAGACCAGUGGCGAAGGCGGGUCUCUGGACAGUUCCUGACACUGAGGCACGAAGGCCAGGGGAGCAAACGGG
rnacentral:rRNA from 1 species